rnacentral:rRNA from 1 species
UACGGAGGAUGCAAGCGUUAUCCGGAAUGAUUGGGCGUAAAGGGUCCGCAGGUGGCCCUGUAAGUCUGCUGUUAAAGAGUGAGGCUUAACCUCAUAAAAGCAGUGGAAACUACAGAGCUAGAGUGCGUUCGGGGUAGCAGGAAUUCCUGGUGUAGCGGUGAAAUGCGUAGAGAUCAGGAAGAACACCGGUGGCGAAAGCGUGCUACUAGGCCGUAACUGACACUGAGGGACGAAAGCUAGGGGAGCGAAUGGG